rnacentral:lncRNA from 14 species
GAUACACAAGGAGCAGGGCUGUCAGAAGUUCAGAAAAUCACAUCUCGGAUUUUAUUCUGUUCGGGCUGGCUUGAGACAACCCAGUGCUCCAGGCAUGGAGCAGCUCCCAUUCUUGCAGGGCUGCUAGUUCAAAAGGAAAAUCUAUACACAGGAGAGGAGUCACCCCCGAAGUGACUAUACCCAGGCUGGGAACCAUAAAAUGGACAUCACCUCAGCACUUGCCAGGUAACACAAGUGCAGUUACCCAGAACAUUGUGAUAGCAAGACUUACCUUUGCCACCAGCAGAAAUGUAUGCUAUGCUGCAGCCUCAGUCACCAGGUUCACUCUUUCCUCACUUGUUUACCAAGUCUCUUGUGUAAGAUCUAGCCUUGUCAUACUUGUUACUGUUUGCACUGCUUGUCUCAUGUCGAGUCCUGCUACCCUUAGAGCCGGUAUCAGCAGUUCAACUACGUGAAAGAAAUAACAAACCUAAGACUUUGACUGAAAGUACUCUGGGGAUGGGACUUGUUCUUGCCAGCCAUACAAUGCUGCUUACCAGACGCUGAAGCCCUGGGACUAUGUGCUUCCGAGCCACAUUAGUGUCUGUGACAGGAGGCUGUGUUGAGACAUGAGGAUAAUUGGACACCCUGUG